UCGAAUAUUUUACUCAUUUAUUCAUAUAAAAAAAAAUUUCUUCUUCGUCGAAAGACGACAAAAACACUUUGUAAUCAUUUUCGAUGAUUGCGAUUGUCUGUAGAAUUUUACGAUGCCUUAGUGUCUCACUCGUCAUCGCAACAUGUGUUUUAAUGUCUUGCAUUCUCACUGUUCACUGGCUUUGCUGGGAGAGAGAAAAAAAACACACAACAACCAGAAACCGAAACCACAAAAACAAAAACAAAAAUUAAAAUAUAACUCCGGUGAUCUACCGUCUUACGGUUCGAUUCGAAAAUUGAUCGCAGUGAUGAUUUGAUUGGCUUAUGAAUAAAUAUUUUUUGUUCAUUGCACAUUUUUCGUCGUUUAUCUUUUUUCGUAUUAUUUAUUUUGUCUCAGCGUGCACACGAUACAAUACUUACACACGCGCACACACACACACACACGUUUUUAAGAUCUUACGUAUAUUAAAAAAAAUUUCUUCAAUUUAAAUAAGCGCGAUUUUCCAAUGACAAUCACAAUCUUUAAAAAAAAUUCUACAUCGACGGUUCUACAAAAACUGAAAUCGAAACAUUUAAUAGCAAAAAAAGCAGCAGCAACAGUAACAAUAACGAGAGAGGAAGCGUUGAUAUGGAAUUUCAACAACACUCAUCCUUUAGAAACUAAUAAUUCAAACAAAUAAGAGAAACAACAACAAAAAAUAUAGUCGAUAUAUGUCAUUGUAUUCUACAACAGCAACAACACUUAUAAAAUGUAUUUUGUUGAUGUCAACAGUCCGCGCUGGGAGAUAUCUUUGCUCGGUUUUAAUUUCAGUAAACUCUGUAUUUGAAAUAUUCAGAUGUUUCGAGUAAGUGCUUGCGCGAACAGUAACUGUAAAUGUGGACCCGAUUGGUUGUGAAAUUGUAACAAUUCGAUGCAGUACAUAACAUUUUCAACUGUUUUUUUUUUUAAAUAAUAGGUUUUUAAAUUAAAACGUUAACUUCAAAAAAAAAAGUGGCGUCAAAUUUUUUUUUCGAUUUUGCUUUUGAUUUUUUUUUAUAACUUUAACCUUCUUAUUGAAGUGGCACAGUGAGAAUUUUGGUAAAACAUUUUGUCCAUGUGCACAAAUUUAUAUUCCCACCAAAUAUUCUCUUCGAAGUAAAACUUUUGUUACGCAAGUGUGCUAUUUUCUUCUUUUUGUACCGAACAGAUGUACACAAUUCAAAAGAGAUGGAUCAUGUUGUGUGUCCGAAAUUAAAACCAUUUGUGUAUCCAAAUUACAUUGUUUGCAUCAUUGGUUCAACGGAAAUUUGUUCAUAUUGUCUGAGCAUUGUAACGAAAUUUAAUGUGUCAAAACAACAGUAAUUUGAUCACAACCAUUCCAAGCAAUUAUGAUACGUGCAAUUUUUUUAGUUUCAUUUAUGUAGUUGUCAUCAAUAUUUGCAUAUUGCACAGCGCUUGCUGUGUGAAGUGUCGUCGGUGGCAGUGACGACAAUGCUGCCAAUUGCAACUAGACACGUUUUAUGUGAAUGAUUUGAACACCGAUGGCACAAAAAAAGAGAGCAAAAUUUUUUUUGAUGUAAUUACCUGUUCGUGCAUUUCAACCAGUGCUGUGUACAAGCUUUGUCCCGAUUCGACCCGCUUUUUAUGAAAAGUAAUUAAAUGCGUCUUGGCUGUACAAUCAGCACAAAUCAUUUUUGUGUAUCGGUCCGUUACUUUAAUCUAUAAUAAAUAUGAUGUAGUAUUAGUGAAUGAAUACACACAAAAUGCAAUAAUCGUUGUUUAAACACAAUCAAAUUAAAUUAUCGCAUAAAAUAAUCUUGAAAUCGUCAUACAAAAAAUAAAUAAAUAAAAUACUCUUACCUUAAUACCGUAAAGUUCAUAUAUGGCUUUUUGUAAAAUUGGCGCGGUUGUAACAUCGUUUUCGCCCACUUUUAUAAAACACAAACGACAUUUUGUUCUUAAUUCGCGUAAAUUCGCCAUGGUUGAUGUGAACUCCUUUUUUGAAAUGAGAGAAAAAAAACUACAACACCAAGCCAACUUUGUUAAAUUAAAAGAAAGAAACUCUUCCGAUUAAA